AAGGGACCCGGGAGAGAGAGGCGGGAGUUUUUGUUCUGUGUAGUUCCGGGGGAGCUUAAACGACUGUGGUGAGACCUGUUGUGACCCCGCUGUUGUUAUUAGAAAAUAAAAGAAGUGCUGUUCACACCGAGGCUCGUAACAGUAUGUUUUGGGGUUGUUUAGUAAUUAGUAACUAAUAAUUUGCUAGUGAGUUUACCAUAGGUACCUCAAGUACAUUACCACAGUUAAUACAUGCUAACGUUGUCGUUAAAGUUGUCGUGUCACGCAACAAAGGGAAAUUUUAUUAUUUUGCGCUUUUAUGGUACUAACUUAUCUAUAAGUUAUUUAAAGUCGAAAAUCUAUCUUCUAAUUGGAUCGUUGCGUUUUAGACCAUAAAUGGUUAUUUAUUUAAGUCAUUUGAAGUCAAGAUUGUAUAAACUAUCGUAAGCACAGACAACAUUUCUGUCUUCAAAUCUUUUUUUAAGUAGUAAUUGUUUAAAAAAUUAUUCAAUAACAGGUUUCCAAUGAAAUGAAAACAGCUUUGGAUGUGUUUGUGUUCUCUUUAGGAUUUAUGUUUUCUCUGCCUUUGGAAAGGUAUGUUUUAUUAUUUUGUCAUUGUUUUAAUUCAUGAAAAAAAUGUGAAAGGUUACCUACUAGCUGACCACACAAAUAACACAUUAUUUUCUGAUAGGAUAGAAAAACUAUUCUUACCAGAGACAAUAUACUGUCAGCAGUUGACGAGCUUCAAGGAUCAAAGAACUCAAUGACAUAUUCUGGGGUAAGGUGUGUCAACAUUUGGGAAUUGCCAGUAUAAAACUCCACAAAACAAGGCUUAAACGAGCCUAUUUUCGUCACAGAAAGGUAAUUAUUUUAAAUUUUUCAUAGUAGCGGUGACAUGUUUUAUAUCUUCCUGCAGAAUAUUUAAAUGCAUGCUUUAGCCCUACAGCACAAGAUUGCGAGUGAUUCUAGAGUUGCAGAACAAGAAGCAGGCAGCACCAGUAACGUCCAAUCUGAUGGAGGGAGCGCAGCUGAAGCUGAAGCUGAUGCAGGCAGCACCAGUAACGUACAAUCUGAUGGAAACAUAAUAGUUGGCCAGGCCCCGGAGGAUUCAAUUCGACUCCCAAUACUGCAUCGCUGCCUGAGCCAUGUAAUGAAAAAUGCCAAGGACCUUUGCAAAAAACAUGCCCCAAAACAUUACCACCUAGCAAUGCAUACCUUCGGUGCUAUGGCUCAGGCCACAACAAUUGAAGAGCUUGAAGAAAUCAUUGUCAGUGCUGCUGUUGUGUUCUCAAGGUCCCACAGUGGCCAAAAAGUUGACAAACAUUUCAAAAACCUUCAGUUGAUAAUGACACAAGGAGGAAGAACUGACAUUGAGGACUCAUCCAUUGUGGAGCUGGAUUUUAUGGUCUGUAUAAAAUGCUACCAUAAUUCUUUACACAUUGCAUAUAUGACUUAA
rnacentral:lncRNA from 1 species